AUUGAACGCUGGCGGCAGGCCUAACACAUGCAAGUCGAACGAGUGGCGGACGGGUGAGUAAUGUAUGGGAAACUGCCCGAUGGAGGGGGAUAACUACUGGAAACGGUAGCUAAUACCGCAUACUCUUGGAUGUGCCAAGAUGGGAUUAGCUAGUAGGGGGGGUAAUGGCUCACCUAGGCGACGAUCACUAGCUGGUCUGAGAGGAGGACCAGCCACACUGGGACUGAGACACGGUCCAGACUCCUACGGGAGGCAGCAGUGGGGAAUAUUGCACAAUGGGCGCAAGCCUGAUGCAGCCAUGCCGCGUGUAUGAUGAAGGCCUUCGGGUUGUAAAGUACUUUCAGCGGGGAGGCGUUACUCGCAGAAGAAGCACCGGCUAACUACGUGCCAGCAGCCGCGGUAAUUC
rnacentral:rRNA from 1 species